GACGAACGCUGGCGGCGUGCUUAACACAUGCAAGUCGAACGCUGAAGCCCAGCUUGCUGGGUGGAUGAGUGGCGAACGGGUGAGUAACACGUGAGUAACCUGCCCCCUUCUUUGGGAUAACGCCCGGAAACGGGUGCUAAUACCGGAUAUUCGCUGAUCUUCGCAUGGGGGUUGGUGGAAAGGUUUUUUCUGGUAGGGGAUGGGCUCGCGGCCUAUCAGCUUGUUGGUGGGGUGAUGGCCUACCAAGGCUUUGACGGGUAGCCGGCCUGAGAGGGUGACCGGUCACAUUGGGACUGAGAUACGGCCCAGACUCCUACGGGAGGCAGCAGUGGGGAAUAUUGCACAAUGGGCGAAAGCCUGAUGCAGCGACGCCGCGUGAGGGAUGACGGCCUUCGGGUUGUAAACCUCUUUCGCUCAUGGUCAAGCCGCAGCUUUGGGUUGUGGUGAGGGUAGUGGGUAAAGAAGCGCCGGCUAACUACGUGCCAGCAGCCGCGGUAAUACGUAGGGCGCGAGCGUUGUCCGGAAUUAUUGGGCGUAAAGGGCUUGUAGGCGGUUGGUCGCGUCUGCCGUGAAAUCCUCUGGCUUAACUGGGGGCGUGCGGUGGGUACGGGCUGACUUGAGUGCGGUAGGGGAGACUGGAACUCCUGGUGUAGCGGUGGAAUGCGCAGAUAUCAGGAAGAACACCGGUGGCGAAGGCGGGUCUCUGGGCCGUUACUGACGCUGAGGAGCGAAAGCGUGGGGAGCGAACAGG
rnacentral:rRNA from 1 species